rnacentral:rRNA from 1 species
UACGUAGGGUGCAAGCGUUAAUCGGAAUUACUGGGCGUAAAGCGUGCGCAGGCGGUUUUGUAAGUCUGUCGUGAAAUCCCCGGGCUCAACCUGGGAAUUGCGAUGGAGACUGCAAGGCUAGAAUCUGGCAGAGGGGGGUAGAAUUCCACGUGUAGCAGUGAAAUGCGUAGAGAUGUGGAGGAACACCGAUGGCGAAGGCAGCCUCCUGGGCCAACACUGACGCUCAUGCACGAAAGCGUGGGGAGCAAACAGG